rnacentral:rRNA from 1 species
UACGUAGGGAGCAAGCGUUGUCCGGAAUUACUGGGCGUAAAGGGCGCGUAGGUGGGCGCUUAAGUCAGGUGUGAAAACUCCGGGCUCAACCUGGAGACUGCACUUGAAACUGGGUGUCUUGAGGGCAGGAGAGGAAAAUGGAAUUCCUAGUGUAGCGGUGAAAUGCGUAGAUAUUAGGAGGAACACCAGUGGCGAAGGCGACUUUCUGGACUGUACCUGACGCUGAGGCGCGAAAGCGUGGGUAGCGAACGGG